rnacentral:rRNA from 1 species
UACAGAGGUCUCAAGCGUUGUUCGGAUUCAUUGGGCGUAAAGGGUGCGUAGGCGGCGUGGUAAGUCGGGUGUGAAAUCUCGGAGCUUAACUCCGAAACUGCAUUCGAUACUGCCGUGCUUGAGGACUGGAGAGGAGACUGGAAUUUACGGUGUAGCGGUGAAAUGCGUAGAUAUCGUAAGGAAGACCAGUGGCGAAGGCGGGCCUCUGGACAGUUCCUGACGCUGAGGCGCGAAGGCCAGGGGAGCAAACGGG